UACGAAGGGGGCUAGCGUUGCUCGGAAUUACUGGGCGUAAAGCGCACGUAGGCGGUCUUUUAAGUCGGGGGUGAAAUCCUGGAGCUCAACUCCAGAACUGCCUCGAUACUGGAAGACUCGAGUCCGGGAGAGGUGAGUGGAACUGCGAGUGUAGAGGUGAAAUUCGUGAGAUAUUCGCAAGAACACCAGUGGCGAAGGGCGGCUCACUGGCCCGGUACUGACGCUGAGGUGCGAAAGCGUGGGAGC
rnacentral:rRNA from 1 species